UACGAGGGGGGCGAGCGUUGUUCGGAAUUAUUGGGCGUAAAGAGCGCGCAGGCGGUCUGGCAAGUCAGAUGUGAAAGAGGCCGGCUUAACCGGCAAGGGUCAUUUGAAACUGCCAGACUAGAGUGCAGCAGAGGAUAGCGGAAUUCCCGGUGUAGUGGUGAAAUGCGUAGAUAUCGGGAGGAACACCAGUGGCGAAGGCGGCUAUCUGGGCUGCAACUGACGCUGAGGCGCGAAGGCUAGGGUAGCAAACAGG
rnacentral:rRNA from 1 species